rnacentral:rRNA from 1 species
UGGGGAAUAUUGCACAAUGGGCGCAAGCCUGAUGCAGCCAUGCCGCGUGUGUGAAGAAGGCCUUCGGGUUGUAAAGCACUUUCAGCGGGGAGGAAGGCGAUAAGGUUAAUAACCUUGUAGAUUGACGUUACCCGCAGAAGAAGCACCGGCGAACUCCGGGCCAGCAGCCGCGGUAAUACGGAGGGUGCAAGCGUUAAUCGGAAUUACUGGGCGUAAAGCGCACGCAGGCGGUCUGUCAAGUCGGAUGUGAAAUCCCCGGGCUCAACCUGGGAACUGCAUUCGAAACUGGCAGGCUAGAGUCUUGUAGAGGGGGGUAGAAUUCCAGGUGUAGCGGUGAAAUGCGUAGAGAUCUGGAGGAAUACCGGUGGCGAAGGCGGCCCCCUGGACAAAGACUGACGCUCAGGUGCGAAAGCGUGGGGAGCAAACAGG